GUCACGUGGCCCGCCUCCGCGGCUUAAGCGACAGAAGGGACGUCCUCUCGCGCGUACAGUGGCGCCAAACCUUAAGCCGGAGCCCGAGCCUUUCCUGGGGUCUGAUCCGGCCGUGAGGUCCCCCCCAAGCUCUGCUGGCUUUGCAGACGCGAGCGGGGCGGAACUCUGUUUUCGCGUGGAACUAGGAAAGGGUGGAAGCCCGGGGCCCGCUGAGCUCUAUUUGCACGCGCGCGAGAGAAGCGGGCGAGUCCCGAGCGCGCUGUGCCCGCUCGGCUCGGCUGCCACCGCGGUCUCUGUGCCUGGCCAUUUGCACGCCCCUUUGAAGGGCUCCCCGAAACCCGCCGUUGACCUCCUCUCACAGCCGUCACUGUGGCGAAGCGUUCAGGGAACGAAGAGACGCAGAGUAAUUCGAAACAUCCAAGAUUCUUCGGGAACUGUCAGGGUUGGGCGGGUCCCAGCGGAGCUCCUUCCCGGGAGACAGAAGACCUGGGAAACUCCUGAGGCGGUCGUUGCCGCUUCCGGGACCGUCUUCCUGACGAAGUUCCCAAAGAAAGGGCAGAAGUUGGAAAAAGGAAGCCUUGAGGGAGAAGCGAAACUUCCUUGUGAUGAGAAGUCAAGCUCUUGAGAAGUGACUGCUGUUGUGGCCUAGCAUCCUGACUCUUAGCUGUACCCUGAUUAUGAGCCGGCAUGAAGGAAAAUAAUAAAGCAACGACCAAAGCUUUGGCAAUCAGGCAUCUACUUCCAUGUCCCAUUGUUAAAGACGACGCAAGGGGCUCGUUCUGGUGGCACACGCCUUUAAUCACAGCAUUCAGGAGACGGAGACAGGUGGAUCUCUAUGAGAUGGAGACCUUCAUGAGCCAUACAACACAAACUAAAUAAACUUGUAAACACGA